rnacentral:lncRNA from 1 species
GAUAUAUUACGUAGUGUCUGCUAUGUGAUUCGACUACUCUGAUGUGGUAUGCCCGGACCAAUAAGGAAAGGAAGUAAAUUCUGGCCUUUAAAGUUUGUGACAUCAAGAUGGAAUGAUUCUCCUUCAUGACAGCACACAUGUGUUCUUAAAAUCAUCACAAAAGCCUGACUUUUAUAUUUACAAUUUCCUGAGAACUCGUUGUUCAGUAGUGAAAUCUCUGCAGAUAACCUUAAAGUGAAUACAACUUAAUGUUACUUUAAGGCUUAUCAGAUAGUCAUUUAAGGAACUUUCUGCUUCUCAUCAUGCACAACUUCCACUCAUGGAAUGGAAUAUGCUUCACAACAGGGCUUUGGAAUUUUUAAAAGAAAGAUAAAACAAGCAAACUACAGCAACAACAAAUCCCUACAUUUCUUCCUUAAUGAAUUAUUGACCAUAAAUCAAAAACUGGUAUUCCACUGUCUCCAUAGCAGCUAGCUAACCUUAUGGACUAUUUUUAUUUUGGGUUCUGCCCCCUUGAGAUGCUGGGGUUUUCAAGGAAUGUGAAGCUUUACCAUAUACUAUAGAACCUGAGUAGUUGAUGGCUUUCAGAAAGGACUUUGUAAUUUGAAAUAUUGAGCCCAGAAAAGAAGCUGUAUUGAAGAGCUGAAGAAAAUUUGGCACAUCCGGUUUCUUAUGUACUGAGUUUCAUUUGAAGGUUGGAGUUAACUUUGUUUUGGUGAACUUUGUUAGCUAACUCAUUUUAUAAUUUCAGCAUAUUACUGCAGAAUACUGCAGAAUAUGGGAUCACAAAUAUAAAUAUAUUAAUUACUUGGUAAGCAUACACAUUAGCUUUCUUCUUUGGAUUGGCAUCCUCCCCAGACCACCAAUAAAAACUUCAGACAGGUUAAGAAAUAGUGACAUUUUUGCUUCUUUUGAAGAGAUAUGGUUUCUAACUGUGGAUAUAGAAUCCUGUUAUCCUACUGUCUUCUUGGAAAACUCUUACCAAGAUGGGAAUACAGAUUCAGAUGCUUCUUGAAAAAUAUGACAGCUGCCAUAAAACAAGACAGCAUGAUCUAUCAUGACAGUAAGAUCUUGUUGAAGAACAUGCCUGUGUGGAAGUCAGGACAAAUUUUCAUUCUCCGGGUCUCUGUGUUUGAGGACCUCCACAUACAUGUACAUCAGUGGAAAAAGGAACCAAACCAAACCACACACCCACACACACAACCUAACAAACAAACACACAAUGGUUAUGUGUACAGAUCUUGAAACCAGACAUCAAAUUCAGGGAAAUGGAAAGGAAAAUUAUUGAAUCGCAAUUAGUCCUUGAUCUAUUCAUGCUGUAGUCAGAUUUAAUGGAAAUUUAAAAUAUGGACUUUUGUUCCUAGGGAAGAUAAAUGGGACAGAUCUGCAAAAUGUUAAUAAAAUGCUUAGAAAAAAUCUUUACA